GGCACGAUGGCCGAGUGGUCUAAGGCGCUAGAAUCAGGUCUCUGUUGACUUAUCUAGUCCGAAAGGGCGCGAGUUCGAAUCUCGCUCGUGUCA